UAUGUACAAUAAUUAUAAAAGUUAAGUUGUAUACUGCGCUACACUAAUACAAGUUGAAUAACUAUUUUUACUUUUGGAUCCGGUUUCCAUGAGUCAAAAUAUAUAUGAUACGUGUGAUAAGAAAGUCGCAUAUAACUGCAACAGAUGAACAAAUUUCUGCUCCCAUCAAGAUCUGGCUGGCUCAUGCAAAGGAACGUGCAAAAAAAACAAAAAAUA